UACGUAGGGGGCAAGCGUUAUCCGGAAUUAUUGGGCGUAAAGAGUGCGUAGGUGGUUUGAUAAGCGCAUAGGUGAAAGGCUACAGCUCAACUGUAGUAAGCCUUGCGAACUGUCAAACUUGAGUGCAGGAGAGGAGAGUGGAAUUCCUAGUGUAGCGGUGAAAUGCGUAGAUAUUAGGAGGAACACCAGUGGCGAAGGCGACUCUCUGGACUGUAACUGACACUGAGGCACGAAAGCGUGGGGAGCGAACAGG
rnacentral:rRNA from 1 species